GUUGCAGUUAAAAAGCUCGUAGUCGGAUGUCGGGCUCGGGCAGGCUGUCGGCUUCGGUCGGACGGCAGGCUCGGGUCUUUCUGCCUGAGGAUCCAUCUCAUUCACUUGGGGUGGGGACGCAGGCCGUUUACUUUGAAAAAAUUAGAGUGUUCAAAGCAGGCCUACGCUUGAAUACAUUAGCAUGGAAUAAUGGAAUAGGACUUUGGUGCUAUUUUGUAGGUUUAUGGGACCGAAGUAAUGAUUAACAGGGACAGUUGGGGCCGUUUAUAUUUCGUUGUCAGAGGUGAAAUUCUUGGAUUUACGAAAGAUAAACUUCUGCGAAAGCAUUCGGCAAGGAUGUUUUCAUUGAUCAAGAACGAAAGUUAGGGGAUCGAAGACGAUCAGAUACCGUCCGUAGUCUUAACCAUAAACUAUGCCGACUAGGGAUCAGUGGAUGUCAAUUUGCGACUCCAUUGGCACCUUGUGAGAAAUCAAAAGUUUUUUGGGUUCCGGGGGGAGUAUGGUCGCAAGGCUGAAACUUAAAGGAAUUGACGGAAGGGCACCACCAGGAGUGGAGCC
rnacentral:rRNA from 1 species